rnacentral:tRNA from 1 species
UUAGAAAGAAGGGGUUCGAACCCUACCUGGGGAGAUCAAAACUCCCAGUGCUCCCACUACACCACUUCCUA